rnacentral:rRNA from 1 species
AGCAGCCGCGGUAAUUCCAGCUCCAAUAGCGUAUAUUAAAGUUGUUGCAGUUAAAAAGCUCGUAGUUGAAUUUCGGGGUUAGUAGGUUGGUCAUGCCUCUGGUAUGUACUGGUCUCACUGAUUCCUCCUUCCUGAUGAGCCGUAAUGCCAUUAAUUUGGUGUUGCGGGGAAUUUGGACUGUUACUUUGAAAAAAUUAGAGUGUUUAAAGCAAGCUAACGCUCGAAUACAUUAGCAUGGAAUAAUGAAAUAGGACGUUCGAUCCUAUUUUGUUGGUUUCUAGGAUCGACGUAAUGAUUAAUAGGGAUAGUUGGGGGCAUUAGUAUUCAAUUGUCAGAGGUGAAAUUCUUGGAUUUAUUGAAGACUAACUUCUGCGAAAGCAUUUGCCAAGGAUGUUUUCAUUAAUCAAGAACGAAAGUUAGGGGAUCGAAGACGAUCAGAUACCGUCGUAGUCUUAACCAUAAACUAUGCCGACUAGGGAUCGGAUGAUGUUAAUUUUUUAAUGACUCA